GGUCCACUUUACCGAGAACAAUCUCUUUGAGCCACUUCAGUCUGCAUUUAGAACAUGUCAUUCCACUGAGACAGCUCUGACAAAAGCGGUAAAUGAUCUUCUGCUUGCAAUGGAUUCAGACACCACUAUGGUUCUGUUGCCAUUAGAUCUUAGUGCUGUGUUUGAUACGGUGGAUCAUUGUAUUGUACUUGAUAAGCUGGAGAAUCAU